rnacentral:rRNA from 1 species
CCUACGGGAGGCUGCAGUGGGGAAUAUUGGACAAUGGGCGAAAGCCUGAUCCAGCCAUGCCGCGUGUGUGAAGAAGGCCUUCGGGUUGUAAAGCACUUUCAGUGGGGAAGAAAGCCUUGGGGCUAAUACCCUCGAGGAAGGACAUUACCCACAGAAGAAGCACCGGCUAACUCCGUGCCAGCAGCCGCGGUAAUACGGAGGGUGCGAGCGUUAAUCGGAAUUACUGGGCGUAAAGCGCGCGUAGGCGGUCUGAUAAGCCGGUUGUGAAAGCCCCGGGCUCAACCUGGGAACGGCAUCCGGAACUGUCAGGCUAGAGUGCAGUAGAGGAAGGUAGAAUUCCCUGUGUAGCGGUGAAAUGCGUAGAGAUCGGGAGGAAUACCAGUGGCGAAGGCGGCCUCCUGGACUGACACUGACGCUGAGGUGCGAAAGCGUGGGUAGCAAACAGGAUUAGAUACCCGAGUAGUC